UAGGUGCAUGCCAGCACGCCAGGCUACUUUUUGUAUUUUUUACAAAAAUACAUUUGAACAUGUUUUAUAGGAAGUCAGCUGUGUCCUUAUUGAAAACGUAGUGUCACAAUUAACCUCUUGAUGAGAAAUUUAUCCCAACUAAAUUUAAAUUCACAUGUAGCAGUUGGAAAAUGGACAUGUUCUAAAAGGCAUCAUGGCAAUAAGGAAACCAAGAAGAUGUUCUCUCUUCAUUUUUGUUUCCUCUACAUUAUUCUUCUUACCCAAGAGAACACUAAGGCUGCUGAGGUCUUUGAUAGGUGACAGCAACCAGGGUUUAAACACUGGGUUCUAGGAACAUCAUUUUGUUUUACAGUGCUGUUACUAUAGGAGUCACAUCUGCUUCUGCAUUUUUGAGACAAGAGAGAUUUGGGUGGAUUACUUCAAUUUUGCAGGUACUAAAAGUGCUACACCCAUUGUAAUGGAAGAAGAUGCAGUGGCUGCUGAAUGACUCCGAACCCCAAGGCCUUUGAGGGAGAGCCCUCUCACAGGAGCAACAGGCUGUUUUGCACAUUUCCCCCCUUGUACUAGGGGUCUGGCAGGCCAACCUCAUCCUGAUACCUGGAAAG
rnacentral:lncRNA from 1 species